AUGAACAAAACUCCUAUACUAAUUGUAUAAAUAUUAUAUUGGAAGCACAUACCCUUUAUCAUGCAAUGUAAGCUAAGAACGAAAAACAAAAGAGAGAAACAAGUAUCCAAUAAUGAGCAUGCACGAUCACGAUCCAUCUUCUUCGAUUGACCUAUUAAAGGGAAAAAAGAGAGAGAAGUGGGGACCCUAAAGUGAAGAGACAUCACUUUUUUAAUCUUAAUUCGCUUGCAUUUCACUGGGAAGGCAUUAGUAUCUUCUGAGACCUUUUAGUUAGGACCACUCUUUUGCACCUCAU
rnacentral:lncRNA from 1 species